rnacentral:tRNA from 1 species
AGGGAUAUAGUUCAGUGGUAGGGCACAUGCUUAGCAUGCACAAGGUCCUGGGUUCAAUCCCCUGUACCUCCA